UGGGGAAUAUUGGACAAUGGGCGAAAGCCUGAUCCAGCAUGCCGCGUGUGUGAAGAAGGUCUUCGGAUUUUAAAGCACUUUAAGUUGGGAGGAAGGGCAGUAAGCGAAUACCUUGCUGUUUUGACGUUACCGACAGAAUAAGCCCCGGCUAACUCUGUGCCAGCAGCCGCGGUAAUACAGAGGGUGCAAGCGUUAAUCGGAAUUACUGGGCGUAAAGCGCGCGUAGGUGGUUCGUUAAGUUGAAUGUGAAAGCCCCGGGCUCAACCUGGGAACUGCAUCCAAAACUGGCGAGCUAGAGUAGGGCAGAGGGUGGUGGAAUUUCCUGUGUAGCGGUGAAAUGCGUAGAUAUAGGAAGGAACACCAGUGGCGAAGGCGACCACCUGGACUCAUACUGACACUGAGGUGCGAAAGCGUGGGGAGCAAACAGG
rnacentral:rRNA from 1 species